UCGAAGGCAUGAACGUUCAAAGGGAGAGUACUUUCCCCUACCAAAAUUGUAGGGGGAAGUACUCUCCCUUCGAACGUUCAUGCCUUCGA
rnacentral:pre_miRNA from 1 species